rnacentral:ncRNA from 2 species
UAGAAUUUGUUCUGCAAGCCUCGUAUAACGCUAGUAAUAAGGUCUGGCGGUUUCUACCAAGCAACCAUAAAUUGCUUGACUACGGGGAAAGUGGACGACAUC